rnacentral:rRNA from 1 species
CACGUAGGGCGCAAGCGUUGUUCGGAUUCAUUGGGCGUAAAGGGUGCGUAGGCGGCGUGGUAAGUCGGAUGUGAAAUCUCGGAGCUUAACUCCGAAACUGCAUUCGAUACUGCCGUGCUUGAGGACUGGAGAGGAGACUGGAAUUUACGGUGUAGCGGUGAAAUGCGUAGAUAUCGUAAGGAAGACCAGUGGCGAAGGCGGGUCUCUGGACAGUUCCUGACGCUGAGGCACGAAGGCCAGGGGAGCAAACGGG